CCUACGGGUGACAGCAGUGGGGAAUAUUGGGCAAUGGGCGCAAGCCUGACCCAGCAACGCCGCGUGAAGGAAGAAGGCUUUCGGGUUGUAAACUUCUUUUCUCAGGGACGAAGAAAGUGACGGUACCUGAGGAAUAAGCCACGGCUAACUACGUGCCAGCAGCCGCGGUAAUACGUAGGUGGCAAGCGUUAUCCGGAUUUACUGGGUGUAAAGGGCGUGUAGGCGGGAAAGCAAGUCAGAUGUGAAAACCAUGGGCUCAACCUGUGGCCUGCAUUUGAAACUGUUUUUUUUGAGUACUGGAGAGGCAGACGGAAUUCCUAGUGUAGCGGUGAAAUGCGUAGAUAUUAGGAGGAACACCAGUGGCGAAGGCGGCUGUCUGGUCUGCAACUGACGCUGAGGCUCGAAAGCAUGGGUAGCGAACAGGAUUAGAUACCCGAGUAGUC
rnacentral:rRNA from 1 species